UUACAAGCCUCCAGUGUGCUUGGUUAUGUGGUGACUCCGGCAUUCCUACAGUGCAUGCCAGAACAGUUUGAAAUGGUAUGAGGCAUUGCCCUGAUCUAGAGCAAGCUUAUAGAAAUUUCAAACAAUU